rnacentral:lncRNA from 1 species
GCACUGACCGAGAAAAUUAACACCAACUUCACGGAAGACACUGCUCGCAGGCUGGUCUGGAUCGACGAGACUGCCGUCUUGCUGUUCAAAGACGUCAAUGGAUGGGCAUCACCUCGGAAGAUGAGGAUCCUGGAGCAGCUUUCAUAGAACCUCCACGGUAUGAUGGCCAUAACACCACCAAAGAGUGAGCUGGGCAUGACCUUAACGAACAUGCUGGAAGGCACCAACGUGUGGCUGGAGGUUUGUACAUAUGAAGCUCUUCGUUUCUUUCGUUUCCAUCCAACAAACCUACAUCGUUUUGUUGCAGCGUGUCCGGAUUGCAGUGGAACAAAGUUCGAUACAUGAGCAUCGUUGGCAGAUACUCUCCAGCGGAACACCGGUAUUUUCUGGAUGUUGAUGUCCUGGCAUAAAACAUGAUUCACCUUACCCUGUACCGCUUAUCCUGCCUGCAAAAAUUACGAGAAAAAGAAUGAGCUCACCUGUUUUCUACAGCCGUGACCUCUGGCAAGCUGAAGAUCUUGCUCUCCGAGUGAAAUCGCUUGCUUGCUCGCCUAAACCCUAAUUUCGCUCAGUUAAUGUUUUCUUAAAUUCUCACAUUCACAGCCCAACAAAACCACCGGGGGAUGUAUGUGAUAAAUUGCUUCUCUAUUUAGUUCUGGUCAAGUAGAACAAUCAGCAUCAUCAUUGUCUUUUACCAUGUUUAUUGUGCCUAGCAGCAUCACUAAUGUAUGUCAGAAAAUUAUGCAAAAUGCAGCAAGUGUAAAUAACAUUUAUAUCUGGAGGCUGUAUUCUAUGCUUAUGUUCCAAGAUUUGGAACUUACAUGUAUUAGAUAGAAUGAAGCUAAAUUAGACAUAUCCUUAAGAAGCCAAACGCAAUGCAUAACUUCUUGCGCUGUUUGUUGCCAAAGUUAGUUGCAUUGAGAUGUGCUAACUGUUGAAAUGGCAUCAUGAUCCAUGGACUGUGAGGAUGUAGUACAUCUGAGAUCACUGUACGGCUGAGACACGUGGUGACACGUGGCGGAUUCACAACUCUCACCUGUGUAUGUAUAGCGAUGAUGAUAAAGUUUUCGGUCUUCCUCCUCCAUUCAGCCCACCAUGUUUAAAACUAAGGAAGAAAAUGAUCUGAAUUGCAAAAAUCAAGAUGGAGGUUUUCUUGUUUAGGCAACCCUAAACGGUUCUCCUGCUGCUACAAGGGAAGGCUUCCUCAGGCUGGAGAUUUGCUGAUGAUGCCAAGAGGCUUCUCUUCUUGCUGGGCACUAGGCGUGGAAUUUCUGUGCGUAAAGGGCUUUGACGCUGAUGGAGAGAUCACAUUUGGGUGGGGGAGAUGGAGCAAGAUGCUAGUUUCUGACGGGUCCUGAUACAAGCUGGGCUGUGUGCAAGCUUGGGUACCUUGGAACGUGCUGCUGCUGUUGUUCAACACCACAAGAUGCUGAUUUCAUGAGCUCAGCUUUUCUCAUUUUACCAUUAGUGUAACAGCAAAACAUACCUGCAAGCCCAUAAACGCCUCCUUGAGCUCCGUAAGUUAAAACUUUCACGUAUUUCUCCUUCUUGUCCUUCUCCUCUACGAGCAUUUCAUAGAUCUGUCCACUUGCAGUUGCAAGCACAAUCUCUCCUGAUGAAUCUGCAUUGUCAUGAAAUUGACUUCCUUAGCAGCACAAGCAGGCAGUGGAAAAUCUUCACUACUUACAGUCGCUUAGCUGGGACUUGUUCCAGCAAACAGCAUUGACGAGCACGCCUUUGAGCCGAGAAACAGCACAAGCUUUCUUCCAUUUCGCAUGGAUGUACAAGGUCUCGGCACCACUGCUGCUCCGAAGAUUUGCUAGACAGUGCCUUCCACUGGGAUCCAGGAAAACCUUACAAACGUAUUGAUCGGCUCCGCGGCUCAACUCCAACUCUAUCGGAUCACGGGAAAAAAGCUCACAGUUUUCAGAAGAAACAAAGAAAGCGAGCGUGAAUUUUCCUUGAUAUUUUUGGAGACUCACCUAAGUUAUCCUCGCCUCCAAAAUCAUGACAAACAAUCCAGCCGCUGCUAGUACCGACGAGCAGGACAUUGUUUCCAGCGGCUACUGAGGUGACAAGCCGGUGACCUUUGGCAGCGGUUUGCUCCAGGACAUCCAAGCUGAAGAUCUUGAUCUCUGGCCUCGACAGUGAAAUCGCCUGGAACUAGGAAUUGAAUCAGCAAUCGACCAUCCAGCUCAAUCUCACCUCGUUGAGCCCCGAUUGAGCGGGUGAAGACACGUCCAUUCAUCGGUGUAAGAAUUAUGAACCUAAUGUAAAAAGGUAAAUUAGAUUUCGUUUGACCAUAUAUAUGGUAAUGCUAAAUUUGCUGUCACUUAUAAGUUUGAAAAUUAAUUAACUAUAAAAUGGUGCUAGGUUAUGAUCAUAUGUUUAAAAUAAUUUCUAUUAGCAAAUCUAAACACUUUCCUUAAAUAGUUAAUUUAACCAAAUGUGUCUUGGCAAAUAUAAUACUUGCCAGUACUUGCCCAGCAAAUGCUGGGUGGUUUACAAAGAGGUGGAUGCGCCAGAAAUAUGUUUCUUACCUGAACUCAAGCACUUGUAUGUAUCUUUCUCAUUUUCUUGGAGGUUUUUGGACCUGUUGUCCUUCAGGUUACUGGACAAUAAUGGCUUCUCUGGAGAAGUUCCCGAUGAAAUUGGAAACUUUUCCAAGCUGACCAUCAUGUAAGCCGUUGAUGGCUAGAAUACAAUCUCGUGUAAUAGUGUAUUUUCAGGAGACUUGACAAAAAUCGAUUUGCUGGAUCACUGCUGAGCAGUUUGGGGCGGAUAUCAACCCUCUUUGAAAUUUAAAUAGCUAAUAUGGUAACUACUUUGUACUCAAGUUUUGUUUCAUUUACAGACACAUCAAUGAUAACGCUUUUACUGGAACGUUACCUGAUCUAAGCGGGUUGAGAGCUCUCCAACUAAUGUAAUAUUUCUUCUUAAUUUGGAGUUGACCUGAUGCAUGUGUGUAUGCAUAACAGAAGCGUUGGAAACAACUCCUUUUCUCCUCAGCCAGUUCCAUCAUUUGCAGGCUUGAUUAAACUCUGGACAAUGUAGGUGAAUUUUGUUAGUUUUUGUUUGAACUUAACAUGUCAUUAAUGAUCCAAGUUUCUUUUCAGACCAAACUUGAAAACAAUGGGAUGAGAGAGGCUCAAACUCUCGACCUCAGGAUUUCUCAGCAGCUAUGAGACCUACGCGCUGACCAACUGCGCCACCAUUUAUUUUAACAUGAUCAUUCUAAACAAAUUUAUCUUAGGAUUGAUUCUGGAAUGCUGACUAUAAUGUCAUACAUCUAUCCACGAACUACAGUUUUAUCCAUGGGCUACUGCAACAAACCGAUUGAUGCCAGCUUUCCCAUCCUUUCCCAACACUUGCUACACAUCAUAGAAUACAAAGAUAUUCAAACUUACGACUUAUAAACCAGGCGAUGCUUGCGGUGGCUUCUCCUUCUCUUUCGAGAGAAACCAGACAUUAGUGCCGUGUCAGAUUUCCAAAACUUCAGGAGCAGUGUUGGCUAGCCACUCGACAGCCCUACGUCAACUCGAAACACCUGGUUCCUACAAACGGAGUUGGUCCCGAGCAUGUGCUGAAACAACAAUCCCUCACCAGGAAGGGAUGCCUCGAGAGAAUCCGGGGUUGAAGAGGGAGUGUCCUUGAUAAUUGCUUUCCUGUAGGCUCCUCCUCUGCUCGAUGAUCUUUGGCAAAUUUACAUUCGUUCUUCCCUGUCCGUCCUCACGCUGCUUGGCUCGUUUUCCUCAAGUAGCUCUCAAACGCGUCCAGCGUGUGGACAUCGGUUCUAUAGUGCUUCUGGGUGAAUUCUAGCAGCUGCCCCCAAGUAAACUCCACGCACGGCCUCUUGCGAUCUUGCUCUUCGUCUUCUUUGCUCUUGACCACCAGCUCUGGAAUCGGCCGGAUCACCAUGUCCAGCCCCGGGUUGAUGAAGAAAACCAGCGAGUGCCUGGCUCGGGUGGCAUGGAUCACUGCGCGGUGCUUGGCACUCUUGUAGCGAUGGUUGCACAGUGCCUGUGACGAAGAGAAAGCUGCGUGAGAGAUGUUUUAUAAAAAGAAAAGGAAAAAAGAAGAGCACCACCAUCUACAACCAGCUAUAGCGCUGCGAGGAGGGAGAGGAGAGGGAAGAGCAGAAACAAAAGAAUUCUCGCUCUGUUUACCUGGAAUGUGUCACCGAUGCUGAUGACAAACGCAUCGGCACGGGGCUCGACUGUGACCCAAGUCUCGGGAAUGAAGAGGGAGUGUCCUUGAUAAUUGCUUUCCUGUAGGCCAAAGAGCUCGUGAGGCAGUGGCGAACAGGGAUCAAAGCUUUGCUGAGUUGGAGAUGAGCCAAUGUUGAUCCCGAGAGGAGCCUGGAUUGUGUGCCCGACUACCAUUCUGCUCGCCCCUGUUACUAACCACGCACAGGCUCUCACAGGAAUGCCCACACAACCGAGCAGCCAUGGAACCCUAGGAGUGCAUGGCAUAACACCUGUCACCACGCCCUCUUCCCUUCCUGGCCACACGUGCAUCCCACCCAUUGGCCGCCACAACAUUAAGCCCAUAUUCCCGCUAACCAUGGCCAUUGGCCAUGGCCCGAGCCUAGGCUGGCCUCCCCUUCCCGAGGACCAUGGCUUCCGAGGCUGCCCCGGGCCCGGGGAUCGGACGGCUGCGGGGGUGUGGGUUCUUCGUUCUUAUUAUUAUAGAUGUUUAAAAUAAUUUCUAUUAGCAAAUCUAAACACUUUCCUUAAAUAGUUAAUUUAACCAAAUGUGUCUUGGCAAAUAUAAUAAAUUAUUACAUAAUGAAUACUGAAAGGCUGAGCUUAAUAUCAAAGGGGUUCCUAACACUAGUAAAUGUAAUUUAACCAUAUGAAUUUCAUAUUAAAUAUGCUAUAUUAAAUGAUAAUUUAGGAUAUCAUUCUUUUGUGCCCUUCUAAAUUAUCUACAUGUAUACUGACUAGCCUCUUAACUAGUGUGGGUGGAAACUCUAGCAAUAUCAACUUCCUACUAUCAUGGUAAUAAAAGAAAAAUAUUUAGAAAGACUGAUAGGUAAAGUUUGAUGCUCACAAUCACAUUUGCAAUAGUGAUACACCUCAAAAUAACUUUUUACAUAGCUUAACUUCAUGUUAAUCAUGUUAACUCCUUCCACUUUGUGCAAACAUUUGUCCUUUAAAAAAAUCUUUUUAUUUCCUAGAAUUAAUUUCCUCCUCUUACCUUAUAUGAAAGCACAUUUUGGGCUUUUACCCAGCCUUAGGAGUUUCUCUCUAGGACAAUCACAAAAAUUUAUUAAAUAUAAAAUGAUGUUAGAUUGUGAUUUUGGAUAUGGGAACAACACUAUUAUGUUUAAGAUAAUCUUUAAAUCUGUAAAUAUGCCCAAUUAACAAAUCUAAACACUUUUCAAAUAAGACCAAACGAGACCAACACAUAAAGAAUGAUAUCAAAAGUAUCUUGACAAACACAGUAAACUAUCACUUAGCAAAUAUAGAGGACCAAGCUUCACAUUAUAAGAGUUCCCAAUAUUAGCAAGUGUAAAUCAUCACACUCUAGGAGGCAACAAGAGCUCACUAACAAGACUUAAGUUUGCUUUGGAAUUUGAUAUGCAAAGCCAAUAGCAGUUUAGCCAACUUACCUCAUUAAUGUCAAGUAGAACACCAUAUAAAGUUUGGUAUAGCAUUAAACUGAAUGUGAGUCUUUGCAAGUGGUGUUCAGGAACCACAAGGUUCAAAGAUGAUCAUUAGUUGUCAUAUUUAAUGAGUCUAGGACAUAUACAACACAAGAUCUUUAACCACUGAAACAGUUUUCCUUGACUGAAGUCAAAAGGGACAAUUAGGGCACAUAUAAUAGUGCAGUUGGAGGUGAGGAUGGUGACAAUGAGGAUGAUGCAUCAAGUGGGGAUGGUGUUGGAGACAGCAGCAAUAGUGGAUCCAGUUGGAGUGCCAAUAUGGCAAAUCCAUUGGUUGGGACCUUGAGCUACUAACAAGGAGGAAAGUCAUAAGAAUGAAGUUCCCCUUGGAAGAAGCAAUGGGUGCAGACAGCUUAGCUUAAGUGGGAAUAUUAAGGGAAUGUUCCAACUUCCCUCAAGACAAGUUGACUCUGGCACUGUCUCAAGAGCUCUGUGUGGGAGGGAUCUUGGAGAUAAGCUGCUCGUCCAUGGCUUUGAAAGAUGCCCUAUUGAGCUUGGGGAAAGUCUAACAAUGAGAUAAUUGCUGCAGUCCUUGUGAUGGCUUGUGAAUCAAAAGACACUAGACUUUUGAUGAUCUUGCAUGACAGAUUAGUGUCCGAGACCUUAGAGAAGUUGAAACCUCUUACAAUUUGGGCAAACACUCCACAUUUCCUAAGACCCAUUUUGUAUAUCCAAGGUGAGCACUAUGUAGACCAGCAACAGAAGGAGCAGUGAACAUCUUCUUGAGAUAUUUUACUUGCUAGAUUUAAGUAUUAUUAAUUGAGAAUAAAUAAAGAAUCUACUUUUCUUUUGCUAAUCAAGAGCAAAACACUACACUCACACUUUGGAAAGGAUAAAAAUUAAAUGUUUCAAUUUUGAAACCAAUACCAAGAUUUUGGAAUGCACCAGGCACUACUAGGUUUUUAUUAUAAUUUGAUUGCUCAACUAAUCAAACCUUUAUUAACAUCAAUAGUAAGGUUAACUAACAACCUCUACUGAGCCAAAAUUUAUCAAUCCUUCUAUUGUGUAAAUUAGUUAUUUUAUAACAUUUAUGGACAAAAAAUGGAUCCUAAUGCAAUACAGGUGGAUAAUUAGUUAUUUCAUUUAUAAAAGGAAGAACAUAGAUAUAAUAUUUACAAUUUCAAAUUUAAGGGUAGAAAUAUACAUUGCUCAAGGGUAUGUUAUAUUUUAAAUAGCAACUGAUGAAUAAAUUUGUGACCAUCUUCUCUCACUACUGUCAUCAAGAGCCUACACAAUUUUUCUUGUCUGAUUAAAGUAUGAUUCCGAGACAAAAAAAAAAAUUUACCUUAGGACUUAGAAUUAUUCAAAAAGAAAAGUCCACGGUAGACUUUUCCCACGCUAUACCUUUACAAGAAUGGUGCGGUGCUGGUAGUGAUCACCAACGGGCAUGGCAGCAGCGACUUUGCUCGAGGCAAUUCGAAUCGUGGACAAGCUUUGCACAAUAUCCACUUCCAGCAAGGUCUGUAGAAACCAACAUAGGAUCCUCAUCGCGGCGGUCGGCUAUGUCCGAGACUACCUCAAGCAAAUCCAGGAUCUCAACUUCGCGAGCAACGGGCCAGCCUUCGUGUGGGACGAAACCGUGGCUGUCCUUAACAGAGGUCUCCAUCUCCUCAAGUCGUGCCAAGAAGGCAAUUGGAUCACGCGGAGCCUGCUGUUCGAGGAAAGCUGCAAUGAGUUUCAGAGCAUUUAUCCCGAGAUCUACAACUGCGUCGAGCUCAUCAGCGUCUAUCUCUUUCAGCUGGCACCGUCCACCUCGCACAGAUCCAGGAUUGCCGAGGCUUACAACUCGUGCCUCAUGAGGCAGAACUCGAGCAGCAUACUGGAAGAAGCCGAAAGGAACGAUCGGAAGGAGCUCAUGACUCUCGCAAUGAGCCAAGAGCCGGGAAGCCUGACGACUGAGACAGAACGAGCCAAAGAGAUACUCUGCUCCAUGCUCCUGGGAAACAAGUCAGUGAUUAACCACAAGGAACUCAAGCUGACAACACACCUGGGACAAGGAGCUUACGAAACCGUGUACGAAGCAAUCUGGCUCGGUCACAAGUUUGCAGUGAAAGUCUUCCCUCAAGGUGACACCAGCUUCGCCAAAGAGCUCGCGGUUCUUGAAGCGGACAAGCAUCCCAACGUGUUGCACAUCGCCGGCCAUUGUUUCGAUGAAGAGAAGCAGCGGUACUCGCUGGUGAUGGAGAAGAUGGAGAUGGACCUGGCAAACUACCUCCUCAAGAAGAAGAACUCUCUCCCGUUGCUGUCGAUCGUGGCAGUGAUGCUCCAAGUUGCUACUGGCAUGGCCUGGCUUCACUCGAAGAAUAUAAUCCACCGGGACCUCAAGCCGCAGAACAUCUUGGUUGGCGAAGAAGACAACGAUCUCGUGAGUAUCAGGAUUGCCGACUUUGGAGUCUCGAGGCCAAACUUCAUCUCCUCCCAGAUCGAAGCCGUUAGCAUCCAAGGCACCAGGAACUUCAUGGCACCGGAAGUGUGGAGCGGCGAGCGCUACACGAAAAAGGCCGACGUUUACAGGUACGGGAUGCUGAUUUACCAGCUUGUCACUGGAAACGUUCCGUUCGAGGACGGGAUGGACAUGGAGCAAGUCCUUCGAGGCGAGCGUCCUGAGGUACCAGCAACCUGUCCAGAGUUUCUGUCGCAGCUCAUGCGGGAAUGCUGGAGCCACGAUGCAAAAGAGAGGCCUUCCUUCUCGGAUAUCUGCGAGCGGCUGAAGCAGCUCAAGACCAGGAUCAUCACUGGCACCGACUCCAUCGACGAGUUACGAGCCAAGUUGGUUGCAGCAGCCAGGUCAUCUUCCUCUUCUUCGUACUCGUCGUCUUCCUCGUCCUCGUCGCACAGCAGGACUCGAGUGAACCUGGAUUCUCCUGUCCAAGCACCUGAAGGGCUUUCAACCCAAAAUCCUCCAUCUCCCGUUGUCCAGGUAAACUCUUUUGGUUUUAGUAACUCCACCUUUAGUUUCAGCCGGCACCACACCGUCCUCAGCACGUCGCACCAGCAGCAAAGCCGGAUAACAGGGCCGAGCUCUUCGAACUGGUGAAGAACGGCCUCGUCAAAAACGCCUUUGAGAAAGCUCUGUCCCUGAACGAUCCUUCCACGGUCUGGUGGCUUUGCACCAAGGUAAUCCAUUCACGUUCUCCAGCUGCUCAUCAAACCUUUGUCAGCUCAGGUGGAGCAAAGCGUCCUGCUCCUCUUCAGUGAAUCAAUGCUCAUGGAAGUGGCCGAGCAAAUCAACACCAACUUCAAGGAAGACACUGCUCCCAGGUUGCUCUGGAUCGAGGAUAUCCUGGACAUCUUGCUGUUCGUCGACAAUGUCAAUGGACAGACAUCACCUCGGAUGCAGAGGAUCUUGGAGAAGCUUUCACAGAACCUCCACGGCAUGAUGGCUAUAACACCGCCAAACAACGAGCUGGGGAUGAAGCUGGCGAAAGCGCUGGAAGAUACCAACAUGGGUCUUCAUGUACGUAUGAAACUCUUCGUGUUAUUCGUUUGAUUCAAAUCGUUUGUCGUCGCAGCAUAUCCGAGUUGAGAACAGCAAAGCUGAGAAGAAAGGGAAAAGAAAACAGGGACUUAUGAUGUGAAAUAAAACAGCUAUAUAUUUCCAGCAGAACACUGGUAGUUUGUGAGUAUUGAGAUCUAAUUUUCUGCCUGCCAAAAGUAUCAACCAUGAUUCACGAAAGAACCAUAAAGAACUUACCAAUUCCCAUUCGUAACUUCGUCUCAUCCUGCCGGGGAAAAUGUGAAGGAAACUUACGAGAUAAAUAUCAAAGCACAAAGGUUUCACCAUUCUUUAGUUCUUAAACUCGAGUAGACGGUGAAGAUCCCAACCUUUUCGAUCUAGCAGCAGCAGUAGCAGCCUUGGCAGCUUCCGCCGCAGCGCAGACACCAGUAGUUCUCGUAGGAUCAUCGCUCUCCGCUCAAAGAACGAUUUUGCCGCUUUCAACUUCUCGGGAUCCCCAUACUUGUAUGGCUUGUAGACGAUCCCGGCAGCUAGCCGUUGCUUCUUGAGCUUGGCUGGACGAACGUACGCAUCGCCCAGCUUGGCCUUCAAGCGCUUCUGGAUCACUCUCCUCCGGUACACUUGCGGCUCGGGAAUCUUGGGAUCGGCGAGCGGCAGGCGAUCCGGAGGAGGCACAGCAACCCACCUGAAAAUCCGAUCGUUCGCGUGACCACCACCACCGCCUCCCGCUUUGUUGCGCUUGCCCGGAUUCUUGGAGCCGGCGCCCUCGCCGUGCAAGCACUGCGUGUGGACGAGGAAUUUGCUCCGGAGCCACACGAGCAAGCGCCUGCUCUUGAUCCCUUCCUUCGCGUGAGAUUGCGCGAUCCAAUCGGGCCAUAGGUGCGAACAUUCUGCGUCGGCAGAUCCUUGGGGCUCUUCUUGGCGUAGACCUCGUGGAUGUAGAGGCGCAACGAGCGAGCUCCACUUCAAGAACCCUAUCGAAAUAUCGAUUGCAGAACAGAAUCGAACUAGAACAAGAACAGCAUGAUCCAUUUCUAGUCUCUCGUAAGUCCACGAUUGACGAGGUCGAGCGCGCAACCUGUGCUCGCUGCGCCAAGAAGAAUCCGAAAGACAAGCCAAAGUUUCUGGACAGGCGCUCAAGACGUUACGUGCAAACCACUGGUGGGGAUGCAGGAUACUGUCGUCAAACGCUAUGCUACCGGGAUGCGAGAGUGAACUAGCAGGGCGGAAACUAGGGUAUCCUGGCCGUCCAAUCCUAAACAACCUGUUUGGAGUACUGAAACAAGAAAAGCCAUUAACCUGAUUAAAGUAUCCCAGACAAGACUUAGGACUUAGAAUAUUCAAAAAGAAAAGUCAACGGUAGACUUUUCCCACUCUGCAAAGAAAUGGAGCGGCGCUAGUGGUGAUCACCAACGAGCAUGGCAGCAGCGACUUUGCUCGAGGCGAUUCGAAUCGCGGACAAGGUUGGCACAAGAUCCACGAACACAAACUCGAGCAAGGUCUGUAGAAACCAAUGUAGGAUCCUCAUCGCAGCGGUCGGCUAUGUCCGAGACUACCUCAAGCAAAUCCAGGAUCUCAACUUCGCGAGCAACGGGCCAGCCUUCGUGUGGGACGAAACCGUGGCUGUCCUUAACAGAGGCCUCCAUCUCCUCAAGUCAUGCCAAGAGGGCGAUUGGAUCGCCCGGAGCCUGCUGUUCGAGGAAAGCUGCGAUGAGUUCCAGGGCAUUUACCACGAGAUCUACAACUGCGUCGAGCUCGUCAGCGUCUAUCUCUUUCAGCUGACACCGUCCACCUCGCACAGAUCCAGGAUUGCCGAGGCUUACAACUCGUGCCUCAUGAGGCAAAACUCGAGCAGCAUGCUGGAAGAAGCCGGAAGGAACGAUCGGAAGGAGCUCAUGACUCUCGCAAUGAACCAAGAACCAGGAAGCCUGACGACCGAGACAGAACGAGCCAAAGAGAUACACUGCUCCAUGCUCCUGGGAAACAAGUCAGUGAUCAACCACAAGGAACUCAAGCUGAGAACACACCUGGGACAAGGAGCUUACGGAACCGUGUACGAAGCAAUGUGGCUCGGUCACAAGUUCGCGGUGAAAGUCUUCGCUCAAGGUGACACCAGCUUCGCCAAAGAGCUCGCGGUUCUCGGAGCUCACAAGCAUCCCAACGUGUUGCACAUUGCCGGCCAUUCUUUCGAUGGAGAGAAGCGGCAGUACUCGCUGGUGAUGGAGAAGAUGGACAUGGACCUGGCAAACUACCUCCUCAAGAAGAACUCCCUCUCGUUGCUGUCGAUCGUGGCAGUGAUGCUCCAAGUCGCUACUGGCAUGGCUUGGCUUCACUUGAAGAACGUAAUCCACCGGGACCUCAAGCCGCAGAACAUCUUGGUUGGCGAAGAAGACAACGAUCUCGUGAGUAUCAGGAUUGCCGACUUUGGAGUCUCGAGGCCCGAUUUCAUCUCCUCCCUCAUCAGCGAAGCCACCCCCAAGCAAGGCACCAGAAACUUCAUGGCACCAGAAGUGUGGACCAGCGAGCGCUACACGAAGAAGGCCGACGUUUACAGCUACGGGAUGCUGAGCUACCAGCUUGUCACUGGAAACACUCCGUUCAAGGUCGGGAUGGACAUGGAGCAAGUCCUUCGAGGCGAGCGUCCUGAGAUACCAGCCACCUGUCCAGAGUUCCUGUCGCAGCUCAUGCGGGAAUGCUGGAGCCACGAUGCAAAAGAGAGGCCUUCCUUCUCCGAUAUCUGCAAGCGGCUGAAGCAGUUCAAGUCCAGGAUCAUCACUGGCACCGACUCCAUCGACGAGCUACGAGCCAAGUAGGUUGAAGCAGCCAGGUCAUCUUCCUCUUCUUCGUACUCGUCGUCUUCCUUGUCCUCGUUGCACAGCAGGACUCGAGUGAACCUGGAUUCUCUUGUCCAAGCGACUGAGAAGCUCUGGACCCAAAAUCCCCCGCCUUGUCGUGUCCAGGUAAACUCUUUUGCUUUAUGUAACUUCUGGAGCUCACCACCUUUGGUUUCAGCCGGUACCACACCGUCCUCACCAGGUCGCACCAUUACCAAAACCAGAUCAAAGGACCGAGCUCUUCGAACUGGUAAAGAACGGCCUCAUCAUAAACGCCUUCGAGAAAGCUCUGUCCCUGAACGAUCCUUCCACAGUCUGGUGGCUUUGCACCAAGGUAAUCUGUUUACGCUCUCUGGCCGCUGAUCACGCCCGUCCUUUGUCAACUCAGGUAGAGCAUACCGUGCUGCUUGUCUUCAGUGAAUCGAUGCUCAUGGCACUGGCCGAGAAAAUCAACACCAACUUCACGGAAGACACUGCUCGCAGGCUGGUCUGGAUCGACGAGAUUGGCGUCUUGCUGUUGAAAGACGUCAAUGGAUGGGCAUCACCUCGGAAGAUGAGGAUCCUGGAGCAGCUUUCACAGAACCUCCACGGUAUGAUGGCCAUAACACCACCAAAGAGUGAGCUGGGCAUGACCUUGACGAACAUGCUGGAAGGCACCAACGUGUGGCUGCAGGUUCGUACAUAUGAAGCUCUUCGUUUCUUUCGUUUCCAUCUCCUUGAUUCACAUCGUUUUGUUGCAGCGUAUCCGGGUUGCUGUGGAAAACAAAGUUCGAUACAUGAGCAUCGUUGGCGGAUAUUUUCCAGCGGAAUACCGGUAGUUUCUGGAUGUUGAUGUCCUGGCAUAAAACAUGCUUCACCUUACCCUGGCCAGCAAAACUUACGAGGAAAAGAAUGAGCUCACCUGUUUUCUACAGCCGUGACCUUUGGCAAGCUGAAGACCUUGCUCCCCAACUGAAAUCGCUUGCUCGCUCGCCUAAACCCUAAUUUCGCUCAGUUAAUGAUCGAUUCCAGCCUGGAUUUGAAUUGAAAGGGUUGCGGCACUGCUUGCUGCCGCUGGAGACGAUCUGAUGUCCCUGCUGCUACAAGGGAAGGCUUCCUUGGGCUGGAGAUUUGCUGAUGCUGCCAAGAGGCCUCUCUUCUUGCUGGGCACUAGGCGUGGAAUUGCUGUGCGAAAGGGCCUUGAGGCUGAUGGAGAGAUCACAUUCGAGUGGGGGAGAUGGAGCUGGUUCCUGACGGGUCCUGAUACAAGCUGGGGUGUGUGCAAGCUUGGGUACCAUGCUGCUGCUGCUGUUCAACACCACAAGAUGCUGAUUUCAUGAGCUCAGCUUUUCUGGCUGAGUGGGGGAGUGAGAUAGGGUUCCCAGUGGUUUAGCAUUAGUUUCUUUUUUUUUUAGCCUUCGCAUACUGAUCUCGGAGCAAUAGAGUUUUUUUCUUUUCUUCCUUAGUUUUCAACAUGGACAACACAAGUAGCCUGUGAAUUAAUGAGGUACAAUAGAAGAGGAUCUAGCCCAGCUUGAUUAGGAAUUUCCACUGUUGGAGCUUACAUGAUCUCUUUUUGUUGAAGACAUGAAAUGCUGAAUUAAGCCAUACUGACAGUAUGUAUAGAAUCUGGCCACCUGCAACAUAUGUCAAUAAGCCACUUUCUACUGGUGAUGAUUACUUACAUAACAAAGCUAAAUCAAUGGUGCUUGACAUACACCCCAGGAUCUUCAUCUUGCUCCAUGAUCUCAAGUACAACAUUUGGAAGCUUGCAUGUGAGGAAACCCUGGAUAACCACAGCGAAAUCUUCCAAGAACUUGAUAAGUCUUCAAGAGUAUCAACGAUUGCCUUACAAGUCUCAUUCCUAGUCACAGUACUUUCGCUGAUUCUGUAGAGCUCUAAGAGUGUGAUAUACUUCUGCUCCGUUUCAUAGCUUGUACAAAGUACAAGCAACCCAGAUUUGCACAAAAACUGCUCUACGAUAGCUGGUAUCUUGCUUUCGAAUGUGAUGGUGUAGGAGAUGCACAAUACUAUUAAAUGUUGUCUUUCAUGGGCUUGAUAUCUAGCCUGAAUAAAGAACUUGCUCUAGCUCGUCAAACAUUUCUUGCAUGAUCCUCAUUUGUAGUUUCUCUGGGAUCAAAGCUUGCUUCCCAGCCUCAUCAAGGUUGCACAUCAGUUACUCUUGUUAUAUUUUUCUACUCUACUGUGAGAAGCUUCACUAAGAUGCACUCCCACUUCUUGGCUAUCGANNNNNNNNNNNNNNNNNNNNNNNNNNNNNNNNNNNNNNNNNNNNNNNNNNNNNNNNNNNNNNNNNNNNNNNNNNNNNNNNNNNNNNNNNNNNNNNNNNNNACUCCACCAAUAGAGGUUUACGACACCCAACACCACUAACUUUUGUUCACAACACGGACAAGCUCAUGCCACUCUCUUUCCGACCAAACUCAACACUAAUCCAACACCAAGCUACUCAAGGAGCAAUAGCAAGGUUCCCCGGAAAAGAAUUGAGCAUUGCAACCCAAGUCUUUCAAUAGCGAGCCUAGACAAAAUGGUUUAGUGUUUCACCACUAUCCAUCCCAUAACUCACCACUUGUAAGACCAUCACUUCCAACAUGCAUCAAGGUAGGGACUCUUGAUUGCAUAAUGUGAACACAAGCAAUGAGUUAACACCUCAUUGCAAAUCAUCUCUCCAAGAAGAGAAAAUGAUUUACGUAUUUGAUCCUCCGUCCUCGAUGACUCUCUUUUCGGUCUCAUCUUUGACCAAACCUCAAGCUUGCUUUCGCACUGCCUUCAGUUCAAUCGAAGAAAAGUUUAUGAGAGAGCACGGCAAUGAUUACUUGAACCAAUAGACUAUUCCCUACAGUCUUGACUGAUCCAAUUAUAAUCAUGCCUAGGAAGGAUCCACUAGUGCCGUGCUAAACAGCUAUGGACCAGCCUAUUUGCCACUCAUAGCAAACUCAGGGAAAGUUUACUUUCACCCACGGUACAUGGAACAACUCAUGGAACCACUGGAACCAUCGAUAGGCUUACAUUAAUCCUGCCAACUUAAAGUGUAACCUCAAGUUGCUAAUGCGCCUCACUCACGAGCCCAAGCUCAAACUCGUGCAAAUGGAACAUCUCCAAUCCAUCCUAUGAGCCCAAGCGCAAGCUCACAUCAUAAGGUACAACAAGGUAACCCAAAACCUAUCCCAAGGAACCAAUGCGAAGUCUUUGCACCAAAACGUGUACCCACUCGGAUCAUCGUUUUCAUCUCUGCGUAUGCAACGAGACUAGUUGCCCAAUCUCAUUGAAUAGUACUCGCUGAGACUCAUCCUCUGAUACCAAAUGUAGCGCACGUGGUUUUGACCCUUUAUCCUAUGGUGAUUUACCAUAGGAUAACACCACAAAGCGGAACCUAAACCCUCUUUGUGCCACGUGACAGAUGCCACGUGUCACAUGCCACGUGUCCAUGCCACGUGUCCAUAGAAACCCGAGGUUCAGGGCCUUGGGCCACUGAACGAAGGAACGGUGCCAAACUCCCAAGCGUGGAGCCAAGGAGUGAUGGAACCGGACCACGGAGCAACUCCCGAGCAUACAGCCCAAGGAGCGAAGGGACAGGAGCCCGGAGCGACUUGGAACAGUCCUAGAGCAACCAGCAUCCCAAUGCCAGGACCAGCACGCAAAACGGAGCCAAACAGAGUCUGGCGCUAUUUCGGCAUACCGGUGGCCUAACGCGAGGAUAUGGGUACUCCACCAACUAGCAUGGAAUGGAACUUGGGCUUAGACCCAAGCCGGACGCAGAACAAGGACAGGCACGCAAGCGGGAGCUAGACUAUGCCUCAGGUUGGUCGGCCAUGCCCGACCUACCCACUAUCCCUACUAUACAUUUGGAACCCCCCACAGCCCCCCCCCCUUGAGGAACACACGCUUUGGGCUUUCACCCCAAGCCUCCCUUAGUAUCAGGAGUUAGUCUCUGGGACAAACUCGAAACUUACUAAAUAUGGAAUGUCCUUAGAUUGCGAAUUUGGACACGGGACAAACACCAUUGUGUUCAGGCCGAUCUCUACAUUCUGUAGAUAUGCCAAAUGAGCAAAUCUGGACACUUUCCAUAAAUAGCAUUUGGGACCGAAAUGAGACUAACACAAAGGGCAUGAUAGCAAGGGUGUUUGGCAGACACGGUAAGCUAUCAUCUAGCGAUGUUGAGGGACCAAUCUCAAUAUCGCGGGGGUUCUUGAUACUAGCAAGUGCAAGCCAAUGACACAAGUUUCUCAAACCAGGCCGAGUAUGCUCAGCAAGAAACACAUAGGGUUCCUACCUUAUGUUUAUCCAAUCUAAGUGCAUGUUCAUUGACCAGUUUCUCAACUAGUUCAAGUGGGAACUGAUAACGGGUCCAGCAAUACCGACCUCCUGCCAUCGUGGCAGUAAGGUAAGAGUGUCCGUAAGGACUGGCCGACAGGUAACUUUCGAUACCUGAAGUCACAUUCGCGACAAUGAGACUCAAGCUCUAAAUCUUACUUUUCACGUCAUACAAUAUAAAAUUGUGUUCUAGGCUCCAUUGCCCCACUAUAUAAGUUCUAAAAGAGUUAGCAAACAAAUUCUAACACAUUGAAUUGAAUCCUUACAUUUCAAUGGCAAUCAUUACACCAUUUGUAGUGAUGAAAACUCUAACUAGUGCAUGUUUUUAAAGUGUUGGUGCAAUUUCUUUUAAUAUCUCCAUUUCAAUAGGAUCCUCCACCAGUGGUGUUUUUAUGUGAUUUGUAGUGGAGUUGAUUCUUCCACAAUUUGUAAAGGACCAAGAUCUUGUUGAAAAAAUGCAUAUGUUUUGUGGAUCUGGGGAAUAGAAUAUAAUAUGGUCCUCGAUAUUGAAGCCAUAUGUACAUGAAUAACAUGCCCAUUCUAAGCCUAAAAAUUCACAAUACCCACCUCAAUAGAGCAUGAAUGUUUCUCUUAGGAAACAAAAAUAAUAACAAAUGUGUCAAUAGGUAGAAAUUUAUUAUGCCACCCACAAAUUAGUAUUCCCGUACAUGAAUUAGAACCAUGCAUGGUUGAUCUAUAAAUAUUGCCUCUAAAUCUCCAUUUACACUUUGCAUAAAACACAGGUUCAUAUUGUUUACUAUAUAUUUUAAAGCUUAUCAGCAAAAGACUAGCUUGAAAGUAUGUUUGCGUGAGUGUGGUCAUGUAUAUGUAUAGGUUGAGCAAAUUCAGCAAAGUGGAGGGCAUCACCCAUAUGCCCCCUUCCACGUCAUAUAAACACAUGCAUAAUUGACACAUAAAGAAUCAUUACAACCACUUGUGUAUAACUAUAACAUUCCAAUGCCCCACAAUUAUGCUCACUGCAAUGAGCAUAAAACUUAUACCAAUGAAAAAAGCUAAAUAAAUGAAAAAUUACCCCACACAAUAACUAUCUCUAUGUAUUGCAAUAUGCCCAAGAAAAGAAACAAAAAGCCUUGACCAACAAUCUAAUAUAAACUCCAACCUUAAGUCCACAAUCAAUGCAAGAACAAUGCCUAUAUCACGUGGGAAUAGCACAAUAUGCCCAAAACACAAAGGAACGAGAGUUACAAGUAUUUGCAAUCUCACUUAACCUUGAUCAAUAUAUGCUAAUCUUCAAGUGCCAACAUCACUCCUAAAUAGCACACAUGAAAGAAUGGAAGUCAUAACUGCUUGCAUACAAAGACCUCUCACCCAAACCCUAAUCAAUGCAUGCUCCUACUCUUCAUCACACCCACCAAUAUGUAAAAUUUGCUUUUGAAGCAUAUCAUGCCCACAUCACACCUAAGAUUGUGGGAAAGCUGUUGUUCUUGGCUGGAUAUAAAGGAAGUGCAAUACUAAAGACAAAAAAAACUUCACUAGAUUUUUUGUGAUGUCUAUGUGGCAGGUUUAAAUGGCAUACAAAUCACAUUUUAAUCAUAUAAAAUGAUGUACUUUAAAUUCUGUUGAUUCCAUAUCAUCAUAUUUUCUUGUAGUGUUAGUGAUAUAAAAAACAUAUUUAACUUUACUUUUACUACAUAGGCCUUGCAAAACACCUCUGAUAUCUUGGAUCAAACUUCCAUGCUUAGUCACCUAAAACAGUACUUUUAGAAGUUCAGACUCUUAAACAACUUUAAGUAGCCUUUUAUGGUCUUAUUAAACGUAUUAUUCCCCAGGAGUAAUGGAUAUUUCUGCACACCCACAUUGGCAAGUUGCAUCAAACACAAUCACUUAGCAAGUUGGCCUCAAACACAAUCACGUUUCCCCAAUAACUAGCACAACUCCACCAAAAAAAUAUCAAUAGCAUUACCCCUUGAUCUUGCCACUAUGGAGAACAAAACGUGCCAUGAUACUAGUUUAUAUUUUCGAAGCGCAACUACACAUGAAAUUCGAAAAGUCAACAAUCAUUUUCCAGGAUAUAGCUUUCUAACAUCAAUCGGCGCUGGUGGUGAUUGCAUGGCAGCAAAAAGUUUGGCCGAGGCAAUUCGAAUCUCGGACAAAGUUGCCGCAAGGUCCACGAACACAAACUCGAGCAAGGUCUGUAGGAACCAAUGUAGGAUCUUCUUAGCAGCGGUCGACCAUGUCGGAGACUACCUCAAGCGAAUCCAGGAUCUCAACUUCGCGAGCACUGGGACAGCUUUCGUGUGGGACGAAACCGUGGCUGUCCUUAAGAGAGGCCUCCAUCUCCUCAAGUCGUGCCAAGAAGGCAAUUGGAUCGCGCGGAGCCUGCUGUUCAAGGAAAGCUGCGAUGAGUUCCAGAGCAUUUAUACCGUCCACCUCGGUAAGAUCCAAGAUUGCCGAAGCUUACAACUCGUGCCUCAUGAGGCAAAACUCGAACAGCAUGCUGGAAGAAGCCGGAAGGAAUGACAGGAAGGCGCUCAUGGCUCUCGCAAUGAGCCAAGAGCCGGGAAGCCUGACGACCGAGAGCGAGCAAGCCAAAGAGAUACUUUGCUCCAUGCUCCUGGGAAACAAGUCAGUGAUUAACCACAAGGAACUCAAGCUGACAACACACCUGGGACAAGGCGGUUUCGGAACCGUGUACGAAGCAAUCUGGCUCGGUCACAAGUUUGCAGUGAAAGUCUUCCCUCAAGGUGACAAGAGCUUCGCCAAAGAGCUCGCGGUUCUCGAAGCGGACAAGCAUCCCAACGUGUUGCACAUCGCCGGUCAUUCUUUCGAUGAAGAGAAGCAGCGGUACUCGCUGGUGAUGGAGAAGAUGGACAUGGACCUGGCAAACUACGUCCUCAAGAAGAACUCUCUCCCGUUGCUGUCGAUCGUGGCAGUGAUGCUCCAAGUUGCUACUGGCAUGGCGUGGCUUCACUCGAAGAAUAUAAUCCACCGGGACCUCAAGCCGCAGAACAUCUUGGUUGGCGAAGAAGACAACGAUCUCGUGAGUAUCAGGAUUGCCGACUUUGGAGUCUCGAGGCCAAACUUCAUCUCCUCCCAGAUCGAAGCCGUUAGCAUCCAAGGCACCAGGAACUUCAUGGCACCGGAGGCGUGGAGCAGCGAGCGCUACACGAAAAAGGCCGACGUUUACAGCUACGGGAUGCUGAUUUACCAGCUUGUCACUGGAAACGUUCCGUUCGAGGACGGGAUGGACAUGGAGCAAGUCCUUCGAGGCAAGCGUCCUGAGAUACCAGCCACCUGUCCAGAGUUCCUGUCGCAGCUCAUGCGGGAAUGCUGGAGCCACGAUGCGAAAGAGAGGCCUUCCUUCUCGGAUAUCUGCGAGCGGCUGAAGCAGCUCAAGACCAGGAUCAUCACUGGCAUCGAGUCCAUCGACGAGUUACGGGUCAAGUUGGUUGAAGUAGCCGGGUCGUCUUCCUCUUCUUCGUACUCGUCGUCUUCCUCAUCCUCGUCGCACAGCAGGACUCGAGUGAACCUGGAUUCUCUUGUCCAAGCGACUGAAGGGCUUUGGACCAAAAAUCCUCCAUCUCCCCUUGUACAGGUAAACUCUUUUGUUUUUAGUAACUUCCGGUGCUCAUCGUGUUUAGUUUCAGCCGGUACCACACCGUCCUCAGCACUUCGCACCAGUAGCAAAACCGGAUAACAGGACCGAGCUCUUCGAACUGGUGAAGAACGGCCUCGUCAGAAACGCCUUCGAGAAAGCUCUGUCCCUGAACGAUCCUUCCAUGGUCUGGUGGCUUUGCACCAAGGUAAUCCAUUCACGUCCUCCAGCUGCUCAUCAAAGCUUUGUCAGCUCAGGUGGAGCAUACCGUCCUGCUUGUCUUCAGUGAAUCAAUGCUCAUGGAACUGGCCGAGCAAAUCAACACCAACUUCAAGGAAGACACUGCUCGCAGGUUGCUCUGGAUCGACGAGAUUGGCAUCUUGCUGUUCAAAGACGUCAAUGGACAGGCAUGGUCAUCACCUCGGGUGCUGAGGAUCUUGGAGCAGCUUUCACAGAACUUCCACGGCAUGAUGGCUAUAACACCGCCAAAGAGCGAGCUGGGGAUGAAGCUGGUGAACAUGCUGGGUGGCACCAACAUGGGUCUCCAGGUUCGUAUGAAGCUCUUCGUGUUAUUCAUUUGAUUCAAAUCGUUUGUUGUCGCAGCAUAUCUGUUAGGCACCAGCUUUGACUACGUGGUCAACAUCGGUCAAAGGGUAUAUGAAGGCAUGUUAGGGUAAGGGACUUAACUUACCCUAGGGCUCACAGUGGAGUGGUGGUGCAGUGGAACUUUUGAGGUAGCUCAGGGGUGGUUGGGUGGUGAGGAACCUCAAGAGGUGGCAUAGCAUAAUCUAGGGCAACUAGAUUUUUGUCUUUUUGCGCCGGAUCAUAACAUUGGUAUCAGAGAAGUUGGUUGCGAUGGCCGACCAAGCUGAACGCUGGAAUCCUAUUGUCGAUGGUGGUGCCAACAAUGGUGCUGACGAAGCUGCAGAGAUUUAGACCAUUCAAGAUGUGGUUCAUGAGCUGCGAGCCCUUAACCGAAAUCAGUAAGAGAUGCAAGAUGAGAUGCAUGGCAUGAUGGAUACCAUGCGUGGGCGUGUUGAGGCACUCGAGGCUGGACGGGGUAGCGCUCCAAGUAAACCUUCUUUGGUAGAUCGACUCAAAAUUCCAAAUUUUUCCGGUGAUGGUGGUGUGGACGAGUGUCUCGCUUGGCUAGCCAAUGUGAAGAAGUUCUUGGCUGCUAGAGGAACUCCAGAUGCAGAGGCUUUAGUGGCUAUUCCGAUGGUUUUGCGUGAUGCGGGUUUUCGAUGGUGGAAUUGGCUUGAGGAGUCCCGUGUUGUGGAUAAGAAACCACCAGUGUCUACCAUGGAUGAGUUUGAGGUUGCUUUUCAUUUAUGUUUUGCCCCUCAUUACGACAUGGAGAAUGCUCGUACAGAACUUUGACAUUUUCAGCAAAGGAAAAUGAUGCUCGGGGACUAUAUUGAGAAGCUUACUUGCUUGAUUAGUCGUGUUCCAACGAAGGAUCCAGAUCAGAACAAGUCCUACUUCAUUGAUGGCCUACAUAGUGAGAGCAUGCGGCAACACUUGCGUCAUUCUCAGCCUACAAAGAGUUUGAAGGAGCUCUUUGAUGUGGCUCGUCGACUUGACAAUGAUAAGCACAAGUCUCGCAAGCGUUUGCGGAGUCCUUCUGUCGAGAAUCGUCGUGAUGAUCACCAUGGACACAAGGAUGGGAACAAGCAUCACAAAUUGAAGUCAGUGGUGACUACUUCGGAUGCAAAGGGGUCCAAGAAGUAGAAGUUCUUUGUGAAGAAUUAUAGACAAGGUUGUCAUCAUUGCGGCGAACUUGGACANNNNNNNNNNNNNNNNNNNNNNNNNNNNNNNNNNNNNNNNNNNNNNNNNNNNNNNNNNNNNNNNNNNNNNNNNNNNNNNNNNNNNNNNNNNNNNNNNNNNNNNNNNNNNNNNNNNNNNNNNNNNNNNNNNNNNNNNNNNNNNNNNNNNNNNNNNNNNNNNNNNNNNNNNNNNNNNNNNNNNNNNNNNNNNNNNNNNNNNNNNNNNNNNNNNNNNNNNNNNNNNNNNNNNNNNNNNNNNNNNNNNNNNNNNNNNNNNNNNNNNNNNNNNNNNNNNNNNNNNNNNNNNNNNNNNNNNNNNNNNNNNNNNNNNNNNNNNNNNNNNNNNNNNNNNNNNNNNNNNNNNNNNNNNNNNNNNNNNNNNNNNNNNNNNNNNNNNNNNNNNNNNNNNNCUUGUGUCGAGGGGCUGGAAGUGUUGGUUGGCAAAACCACACUUGUGGAGACUUUUUAUCUCACGGAUAUCCAUCGUGUGGAUCUCAUUCUUGGGAUGCCAUGGUUGGCAAAGGUGGAUCCAGAGAUAAAGUGGAGCAUUAAGCGUAUCUCGCUGGAGUAUGGUGGCGUUAAAGAUGUGUGGUUUGGCGAGGGCGUUCAACCACCAGUUGUUAUGCUCUCUGCUACAUCUUUGAAACGGGCUUGUCAUAAUAAAAAAGCACUUUCAAGUUACUUGCUGUUUGUUCGUGACUUGGGGGACCAAGGCACGUGUGGGGGAGAAGCAGCAGUACAGGAUAUAUUUGACGAGUUUUCUGAUGUUUUUCCAUAUGAACUUCCUCAUGGAUUACCUCCGUUACGAGGUGUGGAGCAUGGGAUUACAUUGGAGUCGGGGAUGCGGCCAAUUUACCAGUGUCCAUUUUGGUUAAGUUAUGCGCAGGAGCAAGAAGUUCAACGACAAGUCAAGGAGUUACUUGAGUUUGGAUUUAUUCAGCCAAGUAAGUCUCCGUUUGGUGCUCCAGUCUUGCUUGUGAAGAAGAAAGACGGUUCAAUGCGGUGAAGGACAAGAUUUACCGUGCUUUAAACAAGAAGACAGUGAAGGACAAGAUGCCGAUGCCACGUGUGGAUGAUAUCCUGGACAAGCUUGGUGAAGCACGAGUGUUUACUAAGAUUGAUCUGAGGAGUGGAUAUCAUCAGAUUGCAAUGGAUGAUGCAUCUAUCUCCAAGACGGCAUUCAACACAAGUUUCGGACAUUUUGAGUUUACCGUUAUGCCGUUUGGUUUGACGAAUGCACUGGCCACAUUUACUCAGUUGAUGACGGAGGUAUUUGGGCGUUAUCUUCAUGAGUUUGUGAAGAUUUUCUUGGACGAUAUUCUUGUUUUUAGCAAGAAUAUGGAGGAGCAUAGGGUGCAUUUGCGCAAGGUUCUUUUGUUACUUUGAGAUAGCAAACUUUAUGCGAAGAAGAGCAAAUGUGAAUUUGCAAAGUCGGAGGUGGAAUAUCUAGGCCAUAUUGUGACAUCUAAGGGUGUCAAGACAGAUCCAGGAAGGUGGCUAUGGUGGAAAACUGGCCUACACUGACUACAGUGGCCGAGUUGUGCAGUUUUCUUGGUAUGGCUAGUUACUACCGACGUUUCCAGCAUAAGUUUGCAGAGGUGGCUAUUCCUUUGACGUGGUUGUUACGCAAGAAUGUGCCAUUCGAGUGGAAGAAGCCACAAGAGGAGAGUUUUGUAGCGCUGAAAUGAUUGUUGAGCGAGGCUCUAGUGCUUCGCAUUGCUGAUCCAUUGAAACCUUACGAGGUGACAUGCGAUGUGAGUGGUUAUGCACUGGGAGGAGUUUUUAUGCAAGAGGGACAGCCUAUUGCAUGUGAGAGUCGAACUUUGAAUUCCGCAAAGCAAUGUUAUUCCACAUAUGAGCAAGAGUUACUCUCUAUUGUUCAUGCUUUGUAGACGUGGCGGCACUAUCUUUAUGGUGCAGUGUUCGUGGUGUUGACAGAUCACAAACCACUUGUGUAUCUUUUCACACAGAAGGAGUUGAACACUAGACAAGCUCGUUGGAUGGUCAAACUCAUGGAGUUUGGGGAGUUUCCUAUUGAGCAUUGUCCGGGAAAAUCCAAUGUGGUGGCAGAUGCUUUAUCUCGUGUUCGUCAUAUGACGACAUUACAAACACGAUUUUGUCAUCAUUUGAGUAAGGUGGUCAGUGGGUUUGGACAGUUGGUUGAGCAUGCUCAGGCUCAGGAUGCUGAGGUGGCCUCUUUGCGUGACCAGAUGGAAGCUCCUUUCUCAUUGGUGGAUGGGAUUCUCUAUUACAAUGGCCGUGUAUAUUUGCCACGGGUGGAUGCGUUAAUUACUCAAGUUUUAUUCCACUAUCAUGAUCGUCCAGAGGCCGGUCAUUUUGGGGGGAAGAAGACGUAUAAAUUGAUUAAGCGCAACUUUUAUUGGAGGAAUAUGAAGGUUGAUAUCCUCAAGUAUUGUAAAUCAUGCGAGCUUUGUCAGCGGGUUAAGGUGCCACGAGAGAAGCCGGGGGGACUUUUGCAACCUUUACCUAUUCCUCAGAGCCGUUGGUGUAGUAUCUCUAUGGACUUCAUCACUUGUUUGCCACGAACACAGAGGCAAAAGGAGCAAGUAUGGGUUAUAGUGGAUCGGUUGACAAAGUAUGUGCGGUUGUUGGCUCUUCGGAAGAUUGUCACUGCCUCAGACUUGGCUGCGGUUUACUUGGAGAAGGUUUUUCCUGAUUUUGGUUUGCCAGAGGACAUCAUUAGUGAUCGAGAUUCAAAGUUCACCAGUGGAUUUUGGAAAAGCUUUGCAAAGGUUAUACAAGUGACUUUGAAACUCUCGAGUGGAGAUCAUCCUUAGACGGAUGGGCAAACCGAGCGUGUAAAUCAAAUGGUGGAGGAUAUGCUACAUUGUAGCAUUGGUCAAAGGCAAGGACAGUGGGAUUUUUAUCUUCCGUUGGUGCAAUUUGCUUACAACAAUAGCCAACACAGUGGAACCAAGCUAAGUCCUUACUUUGCCAUGUUUGGAAGGCAUCCUCAAAUAGUAGUGGAGUUGGGAUUGCAUUUGAGUAAAGACAUUCAAGAUAAGCUUGAUUCCAAGGCAACUGAUCUGGCCACAGAACUUGAUGAGAUCUUGGUGGUGUGCAAACAAAAUUUGCAAGCAGCUCAGGAUAGAGCGGAGAAGUUUGCCAAUGAGCAUCACCAAUUCCAGGAAUAUAAGGUGGGUGGUCUGAUCUUUGUACGCGUGAUCUUUCCGUCAAGUGAGCGGUAGAACACCUUGGUGCCUUUACGGACAGGGAAGAGUGAUAAACUUUCCCAUCGAUAUGCUAGUCCAUAUGAAGUGCUGGAGCACUUUGGUAAAGCGGCUUAUCGGGUGUGGCUGCUAGCUGGGGUGAAAAUUCAUCCGGUAUUUUAUGUCAGCCAGUUGAAAGGUGUACUAUUUCGGAGUGACGGGCCCAAUGCCUCCUUGAUGUAUACAGCUGUGGAAGAUGGACCAGAAGCUUGAGUAGGAUUCCCUAGAAAGGGUGAUCACAAAUUCAACUCGUCCUUGGGACAAGGACUUUGUUGGGGGGGAAGAAUUGUUAGGCGCCAGCUUUGACUACGUGGUCAACGUCAGUCAAAAGGGGGCUCAAGGGUAUAUGAAGGCAUGUUAAGGUAAGGGACUUAACCUACCCUAGGGCUCACAGUGGAGUGGCGGCGCAAUGGAGCUUUUGAGGUAGUUUGGGGGUGGUUGGGUGGUGAGGUGGUGUAGCAUAAUCUAGGGCAACUAGAUUUUUGUCUUUUUGCGCCGGAUCAUAACAGUAUCUGAGUUGCAGUUGACAGCAAAGUUCAACACAUGAGAGUCCUUGGAGGAUACUUUCCAGUGGAACACCGGUAGUUUCGGAGUAUUUCGAUGUUCUAAUUUCCUGCCUGCCAAAAGCAUCAACCAUGCUUCAUGAAAGAACCAUAAAGAACUUACCAAUUCCCGUUCUGAACUUUGAGUAAACACCUAUCAUCGUUUCAUCCUGCGACAAAUAUCCAAGAACAAAGCUCUCACCAUUCUUUAGUUUUAAACUUGAGUAGACGGGUGAAGAUCCCAACCUUUUCGAUCUAGCAGCAGCAGUAGCAAGCAGCCUUGGCAGCUCCCGCAGCAGCGUAGACACCAGUAAUUCUCGUCGCCACAGCAUCGAGGAUCAUUGCUCUCCGCUCAAAGAACGACUUUGCCACUUUCAGCUUCUCGGAUCCCCAUAGGCUUGUAGACGAUCCCGGCAGCUAGCCGCUGCUUCAUGACCUUGGCUGGACGAACGUAAGCAUCGCCCAGCUUGGCCUUCAAUCUCUUUGGCACCUGAAAAUCCGAUCGACCACCACCACCGCCCCCCGCUUUGUUGCGCUUGCCCGGAUUCUUGGAGCCGGUGCUCUCGCCGUGCAAGGACGAAGAAUUUGCUGGAGCCACACCAGCAAGCGCCUUGUCUUGCUCUUUGAUCCCUUCCUUCUUGGUGUGCUCGGACCAGAGAUCGCGCGAUGCGAACAAUGCUGAGUACGUGGGGCUCUUCUUGGCGUAGAGGAAGGGAUUGGGAGAGAUCCACCUCGUGGAUGUAGAGGCGCAACGAGCGAGCUCCACUGCAAGAAUAUCGAUAUCGAGGAUGACAAGAAAAGCCAUUUCUUAUGCCUGAUUAAAGUAUAAUUCCCAGACAAGACUUAGGAUUUAUAAUUACUCAAAAGAAAAGUCCACGGUAGACUUUUCCCACGCUGCAAAGCAAUGGAGCGGCGCUAGUGGUGAUCACCGACGAGCAUGGCAGCAGCGAAUUUGCUCGAGGCGAUUCGAAUCGCGGACAAGGUUGGCACAAGAUCCACGAACACAAACUCGAGCAAGGUCUGUAGAAACCAAUGUAGGAUCCUCAUCGCGGCGGUCGGCUAUGUCCGAGACUAUCUCAAGCAAAUCCAGGAUCUCAACUUCGCGAGCAACAGGCGAGCCUUCGUAUGGGACGAAACCGUGGCUGUCCUUAAAAGAGGCCUCCAUCUCCUCAAGUCAUGCCAAGAGGGCGAUUGGAUCGCUCGGAGCCUGCUGUUUGAGGAAAGCUGCGAUGAUUUCCAGAGCAUUUACGCCGAGAUCUACAACUGCGUCGAGCUCGUCAGCGUCUAUCUCUUUCAGCUGGCACCGUCCACCUCGCACAGAUCCAGGAUUGCCGAGGCUUACAACUCGUGCCUCAUGAGGCAGAAUUCGAGCAGCAUGCUGGAAGAAGCCGGAAGGAACGAUCGGAAGGAGCUCAUGGCUCUCGCAAUGAACCAAGAGCCGGGAAGCCUGACGACCGAGACAGAACGAGCCAAAGAGAUACUCUGCUCCAUGCUCCUGGGAAACAAGUCAGUGAUCAACCACAAGGAACUCAAGCUGAGAACACACCUGGGACAAGGAGCUUACGGAACCGUGUACGAAGCAAUCUGGCUCGGUCACAAGUUCGCGGUGAAAGUCUUCGCUCAAGGUGACACCAGCUUCGCCAAAGAGCUCGCGGUUCUCGGAGCUCACAAGCAUCCCAACGUGUUGCACAUUGCCGGCCAUUCUUUCGAUGGAGAGAAGCGGCAGUACUCGCUGGUGAUGGAGAAGAUGGACAUGGACCUGGCAAACUACCUCCUCAAGAAGAACUCCCUCUCGUUGCUGUCGAUCGUGGCAGUGAUGCUCCAAGUCGCUACUGGCAUGGCUUGGCUUCACUCGAAGAACGUAAUCCACCGGGACCUCAAGCCGCAGAACAUCUUGGUUGGCGAAGAAGACAACGAUCUCGUGAGUAUCAGGAUUGCCGACUUUGGAGUCUCGAGGCCCGAUUUCAUCUCCUCCCUCAUCAGCGAAGCCACCCCCAAGCAAGGCACCAGAAACUUCAUGGCACCAGAAGUGUGGACCAGCGAGCGCUACACGAAGAAGGCCGACGUUUACAGCUACGGGAUGCUGAGCUACCAGCUUGUCACUGGAAACAUUCCGUUCAAGGUCGGGAUGGACAUGGAGCAAGUCCUUCGAGGCAAGCGUCCUGAGAUACCAGCCACCUGUCCAGAGUUCCUGUCGCAGCUCAUGCGGGAAUGCUGGAACCACGAUGCGAAAGAGAGGCCUUCCUUCUCGGAUAUCUGCGAGCGGCUGAAGCAGCUCAAAUCCAGGAUCAUCACUGGCACCGACUCCACCGACGAGCUACGAGCCAAGUUGGUUGAAGCAGCCAGGUCAUCUUCCUCUUCUUCGUACUCGUCGUCUUCCUCGUCCUCGUCGCACAGCAGGACUCGAGUAAACCUGGAUUCUCUUGUCCAAGCGACUGAGAAGCUUUGGACCCAAAAUCCCCCGCCUUCCCGUGUCCAGGUAAACUCUUUUGCUUUAUGUAACUUCUGGAGCUCACCACCUUUGGGUUCAGCCGGUACCACACCGUCCUCACCACGUCGCACCAUUACCAAAACCAGAUAAAAGGACCGAGCUCUUCGAACUGGUAAAGAACGGCCUCAUCAUAAACGCCUUCGAGAAAGCUCUGUCCCUGAACGAUCCUUCCACAGUCUGGUGGCUUUGCACCAAGGUAAUCUGUUUACGCUCUCUGGCCGCUGAUCACGCCCGUCUUUUGUCAACUCAGGUAGAGCAUACCGUGCUGCUUGUCUUCAGUGAAUCGAUGCUCAUGGCACUGGCCGAGAAAAUCAACACCAACUUCACGGAAGACACUGCUCGCAGGCUGGUCUGGAUCGACGGGAUUGGCGGCUUGCUGUUGAAAGACGCCAAUGGAUGGGCAUCACCUCGGAAGAUGAGGAUCCUGGAGCAGCUUUCACAGAACCUCCACGGUAUGAUGGCCAUAACACCACCAAAGAGUGAGCUGCGCAUGACCUUGACGAACAUGCUGGAAGGCACCAACAUGUGGCUGCAGGUUCGUACAUAUGAAGCUCUUCGUUUCUUUCGUUUCCAUCUCCUUGAUUCACAUCGUUU